rnacentral:rRNA from 1 species
AUUGAACGCUGGCGGCAGGCUUAACACAUGCAAGUCGAGCGGGGUGAUGGUGCUUGCACUAUCACUUAGCGGCAGACGGGUGAGUAAUGCUUAGGAAUCUGCCUAUUAGUGGGGGACAACAUCUCGAAAGGGAUGCUAAUACCGCAUACGUCCUACGGGAGAAAGCAGGGGAUCACUUGUGACCUUGCGCUAAUAGAUGAGCCUAAGUCGGAUUAGCUAGUUGGUGGGGUAAAGGCCUACCAAGGCGACGAUCUGUAGCGGGUCUGAGAGGAUGAUCCGCCACACUGGGACUGAGACCCGGCCCAGACUCCUACGGGAGGCAGCAGUGGGGAAUAUUGGACAAGGGGGGGACCCCUGAUCCAGCCAUGCCGCGGGUGUGAAGAAGGCCUUAUGGUUGUAAAGCACUUUAAGCGAGGAGGAGGCUCUUUUGGUUAAUACCCAAGAUGAGUGGACGUUACUCGCAGAAUAAGCACCGGCUAACUCUGUGCCAGCAGCCGCCGUAA